AGCGAACGCUGGCGGCAGGCCUAACACAUGCAAGUCGAACGAACUCUUCGGAGUUAGUGGCGGACGCGUGUGUAACACGUGGGAACGUGCCUUUUUGUUCGGAAUUACUCAGGUAAACUUGUGCUAAUACCGAAUGUGCCCUUCGGGGGAAAGAUUUAUCGCCAUUAGAGCGGCCCGCGUCUGUUUAGCUAGUUGGUAAUGUAACGGCGGACCAAGGCGACGAUCAGUAGCUGGUCUGAGAGAAUGACCAGCCACACUGGGGCUGAGACACGGCCCGGACUCCUACGGAAGGCAGCAGUGGGGAAUCUUGCGCAAUGGGCGAAGGCAUGAAGGAGCCAGGCCGCGUGAAUGAUGAAGGUCUGAGGAUUGUAAAGUUCUUUAACCGGGGACGAUAAUGACGGUACCCGAAGAAGAAGCCCCGGCUAACUUCGUG
rnacentral:rRNA from 1 species